rnacentral:rRNA from 1 species
GCUCAGGACGAACGCUGGCGGCGUGCCUAACACAUGCAAGUCGAGCGGAGAUAUGUAGAGGAAGUUUUCGGAUGGAUUUUAUAUAUUUUAGCGGCGGACGGGUGAGUAACGCGUGAGGAACCUGCCCUUUACAGGGGGAUAACGCACCGAAAGGUGCACUAAUACCGCAUGAGACCACAGCACCGCAUGGUGCAGGGGUCAAAGGAGUAAUCCGGUGAAGGAGGGACUCGCGUCCGAUUAGAUAGUUGGUGGGGUAACGGCUCACCAAUUCAACGAUCGUUAGCCGACCUGAGAGGGUGAUCGGCCACAUUGGAACUGAGACACGGUCCAAACUCCUACGGGAGGCAGCAGUGGGGAAUAUUGGUCAAUGGAGGCAACUCUGAACCAGCCAAGUCGCGUGAAGGACGAAGGUCUUAUGGAUUGUAAACUUCUUUUGCAAGGGAAUAAAGUGGGGGACGUGUCCUCCUUUGCAUGUACCUUGCGAAUAAGGAUCGGCUAACUCCGUGCCAGCAGCCGCGGUAAUACGGAGGAUCCGAGCGUUAUCCGGAUUUAUUGGGUUUAAAGGGUGCGCAGGCGGGAUGUUAAGUCGGCGGUGAAAUUUUGCAGCUCAACUGUAAAAGUGCCUUCGAUACUGGCUUUCUUGAGUGUGGAUGAAGUAGGCGGAAUUUGUGGUGUAGCGGUGAAAUGCUUAGAUAUCACGAGGAACUCCGAUUGCGCAGGCAGCUUACUAAACCACUACUGACGCUCAUGCACGAAGGCGUGGGGAUCAAACAGGAUUAGAUACCCUGGUAGUCCACGCAGUAAACGAUGAUUACUAGUUGUUUGCGAUACAAUGUAAGCGACUGAGCGAAAGCGUUAAGUAAUCCACCUGGGGAGUACGUUCGCAAGAAUGAAACUCAAAGGAAUUGACGGGGGCCCGCACAAGCGGAGGAACAUGUGGUUUAAUUCGAUGAUACGCGAGGAACCUUACCCGGGCUUGAAAUGCGGCGGACCGGCAGAGAGAUCUGCCUUCCCUUCGGGGCCGCCGUGUGGGUGCUGCAUGGUUGUCGUCAGCUCGUGCCGUGAGGUGUCGGCUUAAGUGCCAUAACGAGCGCAACCCUCAUCAUUAGUUACUAACAGGUCAUGCUGAGGACUCUAGUGAGACUGCCAUCGUAAGAUGCGAGGAAGGUGGGGAGGACGUCAAAUCAGCACGGCCCUUACGUCCGGGGCGACACACGUGUUACAAUGGGUGGUACAAAGGGCAGCUACCUGGCGACAGGAUGCUAAUCUCCAAAACCACUCUCAGUUCGGAUCGGAGUCUGCAACUCGACUCCGUGAAGCUGGAUUCGCUAGUAAUCGCGCAUCAGCCACGGCGCGGUGA